rnacentral:rRNA from 1 species
UACGGGGGGGGCAAGCGUUGUUCGGAUUUACUGGGCGUAAAGGGCGCGUAGGCGGCUUAACAAGUCACUUGUGAAAUCUCCGGGCUUAACUCGGAACGGCCAAGUGAAACUGUCAAGCUAGAGUGCAGAAGGGGCAAUCGGAAUUCUUGGUGUAGCGGUGAAAUGCGUAGAUAUCAAGAGGAACACCUGAGGUGAAGACGGGUUGCUGGGCUGACACGUGACGCUGAGGCGCGAAAGCCAGGGGAGCAAACGGG